CAGUAGCCGCGGGAAUACGGAGGGAGCUAGCGUUGUUCGGAAUUACUGGGCGUAAAGCGCGCGUAGGCGGUUACUCAAGUCAGAGGUGAGAGCCCGGGGCUCAACCCCGGAACUGCCUUUGAAACUAGGUGACUAGAAUCUUGGAGAGGUCAGUGGAAUUCCGAGUGUAGAGGUGAAAUUCGUAGAUAUUCGGAAGAACACCAGUGGCGAAGGCGACUGACUGGACAAGUAUUGACGCUGAGGUGCGAAAGCGUGGGGAGCAAACAGGAUUAGAUACCCCCGUAGUCCCUGUCUCUUAUAA
rnacentral:rRNA from 1 species